AUGAGCUCGCGUCUGAUUAGCUAGUUGGUGGGGUAAAGGCCUACCAAGGCGACGAUCAGUAGCUGGUCUGAGAGGAUGAUCAGCCACACUGGGACUGAGACACGGCCCAGACUCCUACGGGAGGCAGCAGUGGGGAAUUUUCCGCAAUGGGCGAAAGCCUGACGGAGCAACACCGCGUGAGGGAGGAAGGCUCUUGGGUUGUAAACCUCUUUUCUCAGGGAAGAAAACUAUGACGGCCCCUGAGGAAUAAUCUCGGGAAACUCCGCGCCAGCCGCCGCGGUAAUACGGAGGAGGCAAGCUUUCUCCGGAAAUUUUGGGCGAA
rnacentral:rRNA from 1 species